CACGUAGGGCGCAAGCGUUUGUCCGGAAUUAUUGGGGCGUAAAGAGCUCGUAGGUGGUUUGUUACGUCUGCUGUGAAAACCUAGGGCUUAACCCUGGGCUUGCAGUGGAUACGGGCAGACUAGAGGUAGGUAGGGGAGAAUGGAAUUCCUGGUGUAGCGGUGAAAUGCGCAGAUAUCAGGAGGAACACCGGUGGCGAAGGCGGGUCUCUGGGCAGUAACUGACGCUGAGGAGCGAAAGCGUGGGGAGCGAACAGG
rnacentral:rRNA from 1 species